rnacentral:rRNA from 1 species
UAAGGAAUAUUGCGCAAUGGGCGAAAGCCUGACGCAGCGACGCCGCGUGGGGGAUGAAGGUCUUCGGAUUGUAAACCCCUUUCGGGAGGGAAGAUGGAAUGGGGUAACCCAUUCGGACGGUACCUCCAGAAGCAGCCACGGCUAACUUCGUGCCAGCAGCCGCGGUAAUACGAAGGUGGCAAGCGUUAUUCGGAUUUACUGGGCGUACAGGGAGCGUAGGCGGUUCGGUAAGCCCUUUGUGAAAUCUCCAGGCUUAACCUGGAAAAGUCGGAGGGGACUGCCGGGCUAGAGGACGGGAGAGGAGCGCGGAAUUCCCGGUGUAGCGGUGAAAUGCGUAGAUAUUGGGAGGAACACCAGUGGCGAAGGCGACUACCUGGACGGGUACUGACGCUGAGGCGCGAAAGCAUGGGUAGCAAACAGGAUUAGAUACCCAAGUAGUCCCUGAGCGGGCUGGCAAGGCGCAU